rnacentral:misc_RNA from 1 species
CACCGGAACAGUAGAAUGUACGGAAUUGCUACAGUGAGAGUGUUACAAUUGUUGCAUAUUUAAUUACUGUUAAUUACUUGUAUUUGCGCCCUGAGGAUAAUUUUAAGCUGUGUGUGUGUUACAUAUGGUAUGUGAUAGAUAUGAAUUAGACGAUAAUCACGGCUUGAGCUAGCCUUGCUGGAACUCGGUUCUUAUAGAUAUAGAAAUUUGGAGUAGGGCACGAUUUUGAGUUGAUCUUACUGACCCCCACACGUGGAUUUAAGCAAAAAUCUGGCUUAAGUUGAGCUCGUUGGCUGCAUUUGAAUUGAGAAAGUUGUAUAGGGGAUCAGCUCAUAUAUUUAUACAUUGAUAUGAUACACUAAGUGCGUAAGUAGUUCCAAAUUAUCUUCUCGUGCGAGUAUAGGUGAAUUGUUUGUUGGAUGUGCAUUUCAUGGUAGAGUUACAUUAGUUUUAGAUAGUUGUAGAAAUUGCAUCAGUAAUCAACAUCUAAACUCUCUGAGUCAAAUACUCAUUCCUAUUUAAUAAUUUUUUUUCUUGAUUAUAGGAGUAAUUUUUUUCAGAGUCUAACAUUUUUCCCCAAAGGGUACAAUAUUGUUAAUUAGGAAUUUUUAUUUAUUUAUUUUUUAAUU